CCAGUGCGGCAACUGUUAAAGCAGCUUUUUCACUUGCCCCAGGAAACAUCAAGGCUUGAGACAGAUGCUCCUGAAUCCCUUUGCCUGUUGGACCUUGAAGUAUUCCUACUCGGGAUGGUAUUCACUUGCAACUUGGAACUGCAAGAGAAGUUUAACAGUCGUGAUGAAACCCAUCAGCCACCUUUCUUACCGUUGCUGCUGUGCAAACAGUUCUCUACUGAGAAGCAAAGAUCCUGGUGGGAUGCUGUUCGUGCUCUUAUGCAGAAAAAAACAACGCCAGAAUCAGUGACAAACCUGAAGUUUCUUGUCCAGCAUGGAU